AAAUUAGUAAUAUUCCGAAAUUUCGUUGCGAAAUGUUGCAAAAUGCGGAUAAAAUUGCAAACUUCGCAGGGCUAUAUUAUCCGCAUUUUACCACAUUUCGUAACAAAACUUUGGAAUAUUACUAAUUU